rnacentral:rRNA from 1 species
UACAGAGGGGGCAAGCGUUGUUCGGAAUUACUGGGCGUAAAGGGCGCGUAGGCGGCCCGCUAAGUCGAACGUGAAAUCCCCGAGCUCAACUCGGGAACUGCGUCCGAUACUGGCGGGCUUGAAUCCGGGAGAGGGAUGCAGAAUUCCAGGUGUAGCGGUGAAAUGCGUAGAUAUCUGGAGGAAUACCGGUGGCGAAGGCGGCAUCCUGGACCGACAUUGACGCUGAGGAGCGAAAGCUAGGGGAGCAAACGGG